rnacentral:rRNA from 1 species
UACGUAGGGUGCGAGCGUUAAUCGGAAUUACUGGGCGUAAAGCGUGCGCAGGCGGCUUCGCAAGUCAGACGUGAAAUCCCCGGGCUUAACCUGGGAACUGCGCUUCUAACUGGCAGGCUUGAGUGUGGCAGAGGGGGGUGGAAUUCCACGUGUAGCAGUGAAAUGCGUAGAGAUGUGGAGGAACACCGAUGGCGAAGGCAGCCCCCUGGGCUAACACUGACGCUCAUGCACGAAAGCGUGGGGAGCAAACAGG